rnacentral:guide_RNA from 1 species
ACAAAUAACAACAAUAGCCAAGUUAAUAGAGUGAUGAUGAUUAA